rnacentral:rRNA from 1 species
GACGAACGCUGGCGGCGCGCUUAACACAUGCAAGUCGAGCGAGAACCAGGCCUUCGGGCCUGGGGACAGCGGCGAACGGGUGAGUAACACGUGGGUAAUCAACCCUCGGUACUGGGAUAGCCCGGGGAAACCCGGAUUAAUACCGGAUGGCCCUUCGGAUCUUCGGUUCUGAAGGAAAAGGUAGCUUCGGCCUCCGACCGAGGACGGGCCCGCGGCGGAUUAGCUUGUUGGUGGGGUAACGGCCUACCAAAGCGGCGAUCCGUAGCUGGUCUGAGAGGACGAUCAGCCACACUGGGACUGAGACACGGCCCAGACUCCUACGGGAGGCAGCAGUGGGGAAUCUUGCGCUAAUGCGGGAAACCGUGACGCAGCGACGCCGCGUGAGGGAAGAAGGCCUUCGGGUUGUAAACCUCUUUCAGGAGGGACGAAGCUACUCGGGUUAAUAGCCUAGAGGGUGACGGUACCUCCAGAAGAAGCCCCGGCUAACUACGUGCCAGCAGCCGCCGUAAUAC